rnacentral:rRNA from 1 species
CAGUAGCCGCGGGAAUACGAAGGGGGCUAGCGUUGCUCGGAAUGACUGGGCGUAAAGGGCGCGUAGGCGGUUGGUACAGUCAGAUGUGAAAUUCCUGGGCUUAACCUGGGGGCUGCAUUUGAUACGUGCUGGCUUGAGUGGGGAAGAGGGUCGUGGAAUUCCCAGUGUAGAGGUGAAAUUCGUAGAUAUUGGGAAGAAUACCGGUGGCGAAGGCGGCGACCUGGUCCUUUACUGACGCUGAGGCGCGAAAGCGUGGGGAGCAAACAGGAUUAGAUACCCCCGUAGUCCCUGUCUCUUAUAC